GGGGAACUCCGCCUGUGCUUUUCGCAUAGCCGGUCCCAAGCCCGGAUAAAAGGAGGAGGGCCCAACCAUAUGCUAAUUGAGAGGGUAAUAAUGUGGUGUGUUGACUAAACCAUUUUAUAGCACACAACAGCAACUUCAUGUAGAAAGAGUGUAAUAUAAGAAAUCACUGACCAUGAUUUCUCCCAAUAAUUCCCAAAUGAAAAAUCACUUGAUUUUUUAAAUCUGCACGUGUGUUGGGAAGAAGGUCUCAGAUUGAGGUCAGGUUGGAAGUUCGACAGGACAAUUGGGACAAGUGGUACAACUCACCCUCUCUUUAUUAGCAUGUACGAGUAUAUUUAGCAACUGGUUGACCCCUUCUUUUUUGACAGGAGGCAAUACACCCAGGCCACGCGGGGAUAAGCGGGGACGUGUUUGGGCCAUGAGGACAACAUUGCGUGCAACCGCAGUGCGUUGCAUUCUUGACAAGUCGGUCAGCCUGCGCCCACAAGCACCCCGGCCAUGCAUCCUGGACAAGACAGCGAGCAGGCAUCGAAGUACGACCUUGAGCAUGAAACCUAGGCAAGAUGGUGAGCACACACCAAGUGGCCCCGGACAUGAACCCACAUGUGAGAUGGAAGUUUUGCACCCCGGUGCACGGCCCCGCGCGUGAGCCUCGAGUAAGAUGGUGAACGUACACCUACGUGCAAUCUCAAGCAAGAUGGCGAGUGCACACCUACGUAUGGACCCGGCAUAAAGCUCAAGCAAGAAGACACAUGUCGUGCAGGGUCUGUACAUACAGGGGAGACAGAAGAUGAGUGCCAUCUAAGGCAUGAAAGGGAGAGAAGAAGCAGCUACACUACACUACUGUAGAGAAGAAGAAAAAAAGCUACUGAUUGACUGAUCAGUUGGUUGAAUCAUUUUUUUUAUUUAAAAAACACAUUUAGUUAUAGUUUUAUACUUGCAUUUCAUCUAGCCUGUCAUAUCGAUCUAAUGUUUAUUUGAAAGAGUUUAUGCAACACUGAUAUAUGGUAGGAACACACAAUCUAAGAUGCAUUUAGUUAAAGAGUGCCAUAUGGUAUAUGGUUGUUGUGAACAAGUGCAUACCGUAAACCUUAUUGAUCUAGUGGCCAUCCCCAG
rnacentral:rRNA from 1 species